CCUAUCUGCCGUGGGCGUUGGAGAUUUGAGAAGAGUUGUUCCUAGUACGAGAGGACCGGAAUGAACGCACCUCUGGUGUUCGGGUUGUCAUGCCAAUGGCAUUGCCCGGUAGCUACGUGCGGACGGGAUAACCGCUGAAAGCAUCUAAGCGGGAAGCCUCCUUCAAGAUGAGAUCUCCCUGGGACUUUAAGUCCCCUGAAGAGCCGUUGAAGACUACGACGUUGAUAGGUUGGGUGUGGAAGCGCAGCGAUGCGUUGAGCUAACCAAUACUAAUUGCUCGUGCGGCUUGACCAUAUAACAGA
rnacentral:rRNA from 1 species